ensembl:lncRNA
AGGUACUGGGUCCUGCUAGACCAGACUCCCGGCUGGCAUACUGUGGUUCUACCUAUGAGCCUGGGUCAGGCUAACAGUGCCCACUGGGUGCUUGAUACUGCCAGUUGCAGGUUCCCUGGAGUCCUGGGUGAUGGUCACUAGAGAGAAUGAUUUUGUUCUGCAGUUUGGAUCAUUAAACUUCAGGAGGCUAGAUCUGAGGCUCUGUAGAGAGCGUCUGUAAUUUAAGAUGGGAAAAUAAGGGGGCCCUGUCUCCUGGUAAAACAAAAACACUGGAGGCUCCCUACUCUGGACGACCCAGAGCCCCCAAUCCUCACUGAAAGCCAAAGCACAUGAAAUAGCCCUUCUGGGAAUUUUACUUCUCACAGCCUGUCCCAUAGGAUUAUUUAAGCCAGAUUUGACUUGGAUAAACUGUGGGAUUUAUUGCCUGGGGCUUCUGGGAAGUCAGAGGACAACAGGAGGGCCAGGCUCAAGUCCCCUCCCCAAGACCCAUAGCCGCUCUGCCCUUCCUGUUCACCAGGUGGUGCUAGGACCUCAGGGUGCGCCUCCUGCAGACCGAUCCCGGCCUACCCUUUCUAGAGCUGGACCAUGCAGAGCUGUCCACUAGAGGCCACAUCUGGCCUGGCUGUCACUAGAGCAGGGAGGGGGAGAUGGCACCAUGACAGACACCACAAUUUCCUUCCACUUCAGGCUGACCCAAGGUCUCUGGGUUGUCUCAGUAGCUAUUUCCCUUCAGGGUCAGGGAAUGCGGUGGUUACCAUGGAAACCAAGGCCUGGAGUGAGCAAGAGCAGCAUUCCUGCCUGUCCUUCUAGCUCACACUGUGAACUGGGUUUGAUGCCAGAAAGGGGUCAGCUGCCCACCAGAGGGCAAGGGCUAUCGUUCUGUUCGAGGGAAGGCCACUGGGAGAGGCCAGCCCCUGUCCUGCAGCCCCACCCAGCUGCUGAGUCUGGGAUCCUCAGACUUAGGGGGCGCCCUCAGAAGAUCUUGAAGCCCUUCAACAGAGUCAGGGUGGGUGCCUUGCGCUUGCUCUGGGCCCGGGAUGACUUCACCGUGACCAGCUUGGCCUGGGCCAGGGCAGGCAUUUCCUUCAGACUGACGGUGGAAAGUGUGUUGAAGCUACAGCUGGCCAGACCAUGCCGGGUGGAAUUAUUGCUGAUACCUGUCCCAUUAUGAAAUAUUGCUCUAGGGUAAGGUUGCCAAAUUAAUAUAAAAUGUGUGGUAUAAUAUAUCUAAGAGAGUCAAAUUUGAAUGUCAGAUAAACAAAGCAUAACAGUUCAGCAAAAAGCUAUCCUAAAAUUUACAUUCAAAUUUAAUUGGGCAUUCUGUAUUUUUAUUUGAAAAAAUUGGUGAUCCUAUCUAGAGGCAGAGAAAACCUGUAUGAUAUGAGAGAACAGUUUUAGAUAACUUUUGGUGACAUAUUUAAUUCAAUUUCACCACAGAGGUGAAAUUCAUGGAGGAUUUCCUAAAUCCCUCUGCAAUGGAAGGGAAUGCUAAAGAUACCUUUGCUUGACCCAAAUAAUCUAUGCCAGUGCACUCCUUUUCAGAAGCUAUAAGAAUUGAGAAACAAUCUCUAACCUGAUUGAUUUAAUACAACAUCAGUACAGUACUCUUAUUCCAAAUUUGAGCAAAUAGACAAGCAUGAAGGUGCAAACUAGGUAAAUUUCUCUCUCUUCCAUGGAUCUAAAUGACAAGUUUCUGUCUGUUCUACCACCAACCAUCUUUCUCCACAUCCGUG